rnacentral:rRNA from 1 species
UGGGGAAUAUUGGACAAUGGGCGCAAGCCUGAUCCAGCAAUGCCGCGUGAGUGAUGAAGGCCUUAGGGUUGUAAAGCUCUUUUACCAGGGAUGAUAAUGACAGUACCUGGAGAAUAAGCUCCGGCUAACUCCGUGCCAGCAGCCGCGGUAAUACGGAGGGAGCUAGCGUUGUUCGGAAUUACUGGGCGUAAAGCGCGCGUAGGCGGCUCACCAAGUCAGGGGUGAAAUCCCGGGGCUCAACCCCGGAACUGCCCUUGAAACUGGUAGGCUAGAAUCCUGGAGAGGCGAGUGGAAUUCCGAGUGUAGAGGUGAAAUUCGUAGAUAUUCGGAAGAACACCAGUGGCGAAGGCGACGGUCUGGCACAUUUCUGACGCUGAGGUGCGUAAGCGUGGGGAGCAAACAGGAUUAGAUACCCCGGUAG